rfam:Schistosoma margrebowiei strain Zambia genome assembly, scaffold: SMRZ_contig0000201
AUCGAGCUGACGAGUCCGAAAUAGGACGAAACGAGCGUCCUAUAU